rnacentral:rRNA from 1 species
GUAGGUGGCAAGCGUUGUCCGGAAUUAUUGGGCGUAAAGCGCGCGCAGGCGGUCCAUUAAGUCUGAUGUGAAAGCCCACGGCUCAACCGUGGAGGGUCAUUGGAAACUGGGGGACUUGAGUACAGAAGAGGAAAGCGGAAUUCCAAGUGUAGCGGUGAAAUGCGUAGAGAUUUGGAGGAACACCAGUGGCGAAGGCGGCUUUCUGGUCUGUAACUGACGCUGAGGCGCGAAAGCGUGGGGAGCAAACAGGGAUUAGAUACCCUGGUAGUCCACGCCGUAAACGAUGAGUGCUAAGUGUUAGGGGGUUUCCGCCCCCUUAGUGCUGCAGCUAACGCAUUAAGCACUCCGCCUGGGGAUACGGCCGCAAGGCUG